rnacentral:rRNA from 1 species
UACGUAGGGGGCAAGCGUUGUCCGGAUUUAUUGGGCGUAAAGAGCGUGUAGGCGGCCAGGUAGGUCCGCUGUGAAAACUCGAGGCUUAACCUCGAGCUGUCGGUGGAAACCAUCUGGCUAGAGUCCGGAAGAGGAGAACGGAAUUCCCGGUGUAGCGGUGAAAUGCGCAGAUAUCAGGAAGAACACCCGUGGCGAAAGCGGCUCUCUGGAACGGUACUGACGCUGAGACGCGAAAGCGUGGGGAGCGAACAGG